rnacentral:rRNA from 1 species
AGAGUUUGAUCCUGGCUCAGGACGAACGCUGGCGGCGUGCCUAACACAUGCAAGUCGAGCGAUGAAGCCCUUCCGGGUGGAUUAGCGGCGGACGGGUGAGUAACACGUGGGUAACCUGCCUUAUAGAGGGGGAUAGCCUUCCGAAAGGAAGAUCAAUACCGCAUAAAAUGUUUGUAUCGCAUGGUACGAACAUCAAAGGAGUAAUCCGCUAUUGGAUGGACCCGCGGCGCAUUAGCUAGUUGGUGAGGUAAAGGCCCACCAAGGCGACGAUGCGUAGCCGACCUGAGAGGGUGAUCGGCCACAUUGGAACUGAGACACGGUCCAGACUCCUACGGGAGGCAGCAGUGGGGAAUAUUGCGCAAUGGGGGAAACCCUGACGCAGCAACGCCGCGUGAAUGAAGAAGGCCUUAGGGUUGUAAAGUUCUGUUUUCUGGGACAAUAAUGACGGUACCAUAGGAGGAAGCCACGGCUAACUACGUGCCAGCAUACGCGGUAAUACAUAGGUGGCCAGCGUUGUCCGGAUUUACUGGGCGUAAAGGAUGCGUAGGCGGAUGUUUAAGUGAGAUGUGAAAUACCCGAUCUCAACUUGUGAGCUGCAUUUCACACUGGAUAUCUGGAGUGCACGAUAGGAAAGCGGAAUUCCUAGUGUAGCGGAGAAAUGCGUAGAGAUUAGGAAGAACACCAGUGGCGAAGGCGGCUUUCUGAACUGUAACUGACGCUGAGGCAUGAAAGCGUGAGGAGCACACUCGAUUACAUACCCUGGUAGUCCACACCGUAUACGAUGAAUACUAAGUGUACGACGUAUCGACUCCUCCUGUGCCGCAGGUGACACAAUAACUAUUCCGCCUGGGGAGUACGAUCGCUGGAUUAACACUCAAAGGAAUUGACAG